CCUCCGCCAACCAUUUCUCUGCACUCGGACGCGAGCCAACCAACCGAAACAGUGACCGGCCACAUACAUAGCAGAAGAGGACUCCGUCGCCCUGCCACCGGCCUCCGCCAUCGAGUACGCAGUCCGCGUUCUUCUUCUUUGCCCGAUCACCUGUCCUUCUUAUGGUGUCUGCUCAACCCGGCGCACCCGAUGGUGGAGGCGGCAGCGGUAACAGAAGAGGAGCAACGGAGGAUGCGCCCCUCGUCAGUCGUCUUCUUCCCCACCGACCUCCUCCACUCAAGUCACUCCCCCGAGCCUCCACCGACGACCCCAGCAAGAAGAUCCGCAAGCCUUACACCAUCACCAAGUCCCGCGAGAGCUGGACCGAGCAGGAGCACGACAAGUUCCUCGAAGCCCUCCAUCUUUUCGAUCGGGACUGGAAAAAGAUAGAAGCAUUUGUUGGCUCGAAGACGGCUAUUCAGAUAAGGAGCCAUGCACAGAAGUAUUUCCUUAAGGUCCAGAAGAAUGGUACAAGUGAACAUGUACCUCCACCUCGACCCAAGCGGAAAGCAGCUCAUCCAUAUCCUCAUAAAGGCCCUAAAAAUGGCACUGCCUCUGUCCAGCUUUCCUGUUUACUUGAACCAGGUGAUGCCCUCGCGGUAGACAUUUCUUCUACACCUGGAAACUCUACCUCGAAAGCGCAAAUGCAUUCCAAGGGUCACAGUUGUCUCCAGCCAGUUACUGCAUCUCACCAAACAGCAGCUGAUACAAGGCCUGCGGGAGUGUCAACGACAAAUAAUUGUUCUACUAGCACAAUCUGCCUUACAACCUGGCCAACUUCCGAAACCGCUGAUCGAGAAAAGCUUACCAUGGAUCCUCGUGAUUUUGCUAAAGUCUACAGCUUUCUCGGAAGUGUCUUUGAGCCUGGCAGUACUGGUCAUUUGGAAAAACUAAAGGAGAUGGAUCCAAUUGAUGUUGAAACAGUGCUGCUUCUGAUGAGGAACUUAGCCUUGAACUUGAUUAGUCCAGACUAUGAAUCCCAUGUGAGUGCACCUGACCUUUUGCCUUAGAAAUUACUUCAAAUCACUUAUUCAAGGUGGUUGGUUUGUAAGUUUCGCAAUCAAAUUUUGUCCAUGUGGCAUUUCUCAUUACAUGAUUGGAUGCUAUGCACAUAGAUGAUACUUCAAUAUCUUUUAGUGAGCACCAAAAACAGAUUGCUAAUACCCAAUUGUUCGACACCAUGGCUAUGAACCAUGGUGUUGAUUUAUGCUGCUACUAUUCAUUCUUCUUUUCUGAAAUAUAUUUGCUCACGCAGAUAAGGUUACUCUCAUCAUCAGCGGACGUGAAAUUCGCUAUCACAAAUAACAUUUUCAGUGCAUGUUGAACUGCUGCUCCUUUCAUGGUUAACCUACUGCAGAUGCUGCCCUGUAACAAUGAGAGUCAUUGAGAUGCAGAGGGCGGGCAAUAAUAAAUUCAAGGGCGGCAAGGGAGGGUGUUUAAGGUAACGAGUGGAGAGGUGGAAGUGAUAUGCAGUCCUUUAAGCUGCCACUAGCCAUCGAUGAUCGACUGAUCAAUGUCAGCUACCAGUUGGAGAUGCUAGCUUGCAGCAAUCAGCAAGACUUAACUGUGAUCAUGGUAAAGAAUCAUAAUCCAUUGCGACUCUGUUGUAGAGAGUAUUAUAAAGAGAUCUCUAUAUAAUUUA